rnacentral:misc_RNA from 1 species
CGCAUCGAUGAAGAACGCAGCGAAAUGCGAUACGUAAUGUGAAUUGCAGAAUUCAGUGAAUCAUCGAAUCUUUGAACGCAUAUUGCGCUCUCUGGUAUUCCGGAGAGCAUGCUUGUUUGAGUAUCAGUAAACACCUCAACUCCCUUUUUCUUUUUUGGAAUCGGGGAGCUGGACUUGAGUGAUCCCAACACUUUUCUCACUGGAAAGUGGCGGGUCACUUGAAAUGCAGGUGCAGCUGGACUUUUCUCUGAGCUAUAAGCAUAUCUAUUUAGUCUGCCUAAAAACCAGAUUAUUACCUUUGCUGCAGCUAACAUAAAGGAGAAUUGUUCUUGUGCUGACUGAUGCAGGAUUCACAGAGACAGCUUUGCGGCUGACUUUGUAAACUCGAUCUCAAAUCAAG